GGAUGCGAUCAUACCAGCACUAAAGCACCGGAUCCCAUCAGAACUCCGAAGUUAAGCGUGCUUGGCGAGAGUAGUACUAGGAUGGGUGACCUCCUGGGAAGUCCUCGUGUUGCAUUCCC
rnacentral:rRNA from 6 species